CACUCAUUGGCUUCUCCGGAAAAUCGGAGUUACUAUUCACUUUAAGUCAUUACUAAAGUUCGCGUAACUCCUCCAUCCUAACUCGUUUUUUUUCUCAAACUUGACGAGUGUUUAUGUAAUUAAAUUACACAAAAAAACAUCAUCAAUACAGAGUUUAUCUAUACAGCAAAAAUCUCAGUCCUUACAGAGAUUGUUAAAAUUGUACGUAGAUUAUACGAAAAAUAAAAAAAAAGUGAGAUUGUUAGGAUUGUAUAUGGAUUAUUAGAAUUUUUGUUUGAUUGUUAGGAUUCAUUAUAUGGAUAGAUUAUAAGGAUUUUUUAAAUUGUUAGUAUUGUAUGGAUAGAUUAUUAGAAUUUUCAUGUUGUUAAAAUUAUAUGUGAUUUGUUGAAAUAUUUAUGUGGUAACUGUGGUUGUUAGAAUUAUAUAUAGGAUAUAGAAAGAAACAGUAAAUAAGUGAAAGACGAUAAAUGAUUCACCGUUUUUGUGAGAAAUUAGAAAGAUGGUGAAUCAUUUACUGUUUUUAUAAAGGUGGUGAAUCGUUCACCGUCUUUAAGAGAAAAUUCCAACUUGACUCUUACAUUGCAAAAAGAGGGUUAGUUUUUCAAAUAUAAUUUUGGCAGGAUUAUUUCGCAAAUACCAAAAUUUUAGAGGAUUAUUUUGUAAAAGAAU
rnacentral:lncRNA from 1 species